rnacentral:rRNA from 2 species
AAACCAACAGGGAUUGCCUUAGUAGUGGCGAAUGAAGCGGCAAGAGCUCAAAUUUGAAAACUGGCAUCUUCGAUGUCCGUGUUGUAAUUUGAAGAAGAUAUUCUUGGGUUAGGUCCUUGUCUAUGUUCCUUGGAACAGGACGUCACAGAGGGUGAGAAUCCCGUGCGAUGAGGCCCCCUUUCCUAUGUAAGAUGUCUUCGAAGAGUCGAGUUGUUUGGGAAUGCAGCUCUAAGUGGGUGGUAAAUUCCAUCUAAAGCUAAAUAUUGGCGAGAGACCGAUAGCGAACAAGUACUGUGAAGGAAAGAUGAAAAGAACUUUGAAAAGAGAGUGAAAAAGUACGUGAAAUUGUUGAAAGGGAAGGGUAUUCGAUCAGACUGGUAUUUAGUUAUCAUUACUCCUUGUGGGUGGUGCUCUAACUUUUUACUGGGCCAGCAUCGGUUUUGAUGGUAAGAUAAUCGUAGUUGAAUGUGGCUCUUCGGAGUGUUAUAGCUUCUGCUGAUAUUACCUAUUGGGACCGAGGUCUGCGGCUUUGCCUAGGAUGCUGGCGUAAUGAUCCAAUACCGC